rnacentral:miRNA from 1 species
AAAGUGCUCCCAUUUUCGAGCGU